rnacentral:rRNA from 1 species
UACGUAGGGGGCAAGCGUUGUCCGGAUUUAUUGGGCGUAAAGAGCGUGUAGGCGGCCAGACAGGUCAGCUGUGAAAACUCGAGGCUCAACCUCGAGACGUCGGUUGAAACCGUCUGGCUAGAGUCCGGAAGAGGAGAGUGGAAUUCCCGGUGUAGCGGUGAAAUGCGCAGAUAUCGGGAAGAACACCCGUGGCGAAGGCGGCUCUCUGGGACGGUACUGACGCUGAGACGCGAAAGCGUGGGGAGCGAUCCGG